rnacentral:tRNA from 1 species
UGGCUUAGAUGGUAAAGCAUCUGCCUGCAAUGCAGGAGACCUGAGUUCAAUCCCAG